rnacentral:rRNA from 1 species
GACGAACGCUGGCGGCGUGCUUAACACAUGCAAGUCGAACGGAAAGGCCCCCACCUUGGUGGGGGUGCUCGAGUGGCGAACGGGUGAGUAACACGUGGGUCAUCUGCCCUGUACUUCGGGAUAAGCUUGGGAAACUGGGUCUAAUACCGGAUAGGACCAUGGUUUAGUGUCUCAUGGUGGAAAAAUUAUUGUUUUGGUGCAGGAUGAGCUCGCGGCCUAUCAGCUUGUUGGUGGGGUAAUGACCUACCAAGGCGUCGACGGCUAGCCGGCCUGAGAGGGUGGACGGCCAGAUACGGAGUGACGGACCACCCAGACUCCGACGGCAGGCAGCAGUGGGGAAUAGUGCAGGAUGGGCGCCAGACUGAGGCAGCGACGGCGCGUGAUGAAUGACGGCCUUCGGGUUGUAACCUCCUUUCGUUAGGGACGAAGCCACACCUUUUUUGGGUGUGGUGACGGUACCUUUGUUAAGAAGCACCGGCUAACUACGUG